GGGUUGUGAGGUUAAGCGACUAAGCGUACACGGUGGAUGCCCUGGCAGUCAGAGGCGAUGAAGGACGUGCUAAUCUGCGAUAAGCGUCGGUAAGGUGAUAUGAACCGUUAUAACCGGCGAUUUCCGAAUGGGGAAACCCAGUGUGAUUCGUCACACUAUCAUUAACUGAAUCCAUAGGUUAAUGAGGCGAACCGGGGGAACUGAAACAUCUAAGUACCCCGAGGAAAAGAAAUCAACCGAGAUUCCCCCAGUAGCGGCGAGCGAACGGGGAGGAGCCCAGAGCCUGAAUCAGUGUGUGUGUUAGUGGAAGCGUUUGGAAAGGCGCGCGAUACAGGGUGACAGCCCCGUACACAAAAAUGCACAUGCUGUGAGCUCGAUGAGUAGGGCGGGACA
rnacentral:rRNA from 1 species